UACGUAGGGUGCGAGCGUUAAUCGGAAUUACUGGGCGUAAAGCGUGCGCAGGCGGUUUGUUAAGACAGAUGUGAAAUCCCCGGGCUUAACCUGGGAAUGGCGUUUGUAACUGGCAAGCUAGAGUGUGUCAGAGGGAGGUAGAAUUCCACGUGUAGCAGUGAAAUGCGUAGAGAUGUGGAGGAAUACCGAUGGCGAAGGCAGCCUCCUGGGAUAACACUGACGCUCAUGCACGAAAGCGUGGGGAGCAAACAGG
rnacentral:rRNA from 1 species